rnacentral:rRNA from 1 species
AAGUCGUAACAAGGUCUCCGUAGGUGAACCUGCGGAGGGAUCAUUACCGAGUGAGGGCCCUCGCGCCCGACCUCCCAACCCUUUGUUGUACCCAACCGUUGCCUCGGGGGGCGACCCGGCCUUUCGCGCCGGGCGGCCCUCCGAGGUUUAUUAACAACCUGCAUUUUGACGUCGGAGUAUUGAAAACAAUCAAUCAAAACUUUCAACAACGGAUCUCUUGGUUCUGGCAUCGAUGAAGAACGCAGCGAAAUGCGAUAAGUAAUGUGAAUUGCAGAAUUCAGUGAAUCAUCGAAUCUUUGAACGCACAUUGCGCCCUUUGGCAUUCCGAAGGGCAUGCCCGUUCGAGCGUCAUUACACCACUCAAGCCUCGCUUGGUAUUGGGCGACGGGGACCUCCCGCGCCUUCAAUUCAUCGGCUGUUCGUUUGAAUCUCAGCGUUGUGGUUUCAUCAAAUCGCUGGCGAGGAGGAUUGAGCGCGCCGUUAAACUUCUUUACAGGUUGACCUCGGAUCGGGUAGGGAUACCCGCUGAACUUAA